AUUAAUCUAAAUUAAUUCACUCAUAUAAUAGUCGAGAUAAGGUCGACGAGUAUCUACCCAGCACCGUAAAUGGCUGGACUAUAAGUGAAGAAUACAAGGAU
rnacentral:ncRNA from 2 species